rnacentral:misc_RNA from 1 species
AACGCACCUUGCGCUCCUUGGUAUUCCGAGGAGCAUGCCUGUUCGAGUGUCAUGAAACUCUCAAACCGUCGUCUUUGUUGACGGCGGGCUUGGACUUGGACGUUGCUGGGCUUACGCUCGGCUCGUCUUAAAUGCAUUAGCUGACUCUCCCGACUUCAGUUUUCGGCGUGAUAAUCACAUCUACGUCGAUGCCGCGAGGCGCUGGACCGGGGAUCAAACGGCUUCUAACCGUCCGCGAGGACAAUCUUCAUCUCAUUUGGCCUCGAAUCAGGUAGGACUACCCGCUGAACUUAA